rnacentral:tRNA from 1 species
GGCCUUGAAGUGUGGACAUGUCGAAUUGCAAAUUCNNNGAAGCAGCUUCAACUCUGCCGGGGCUU